rnacentral:rRNA from 1 species
UGGGGAAUAUUGCACAAUGGGCGCAAGCCUGAUGCAGCCAUGCCGCGUGUAUGAAGAAGGCCUUCGGGUUGUAAAGUACUUUCAGUCGGGAGGAAGGUGGUAAGGUUAAUAACCUUAUCAAUUGACGUUACCGACAGAAGAAGCACCGGCUAACUCCGUGCCAGCCGCGGUAAUACGGAGGGUGCAAGCGUUAAUCGGAAUUACUGGGCGUAAAGCGCACGCAGGCGGUUGAUUGAGUCAGAUGUGAAAUCCCCGGGCUUAACCCGGGAAUUGCAUCUGAUACUGGUCAGCUAGAGUCUUGUAGAGGGGGGUAGAAUUCCAUGUGUAGCGGUGAAAUGCGUAGAGAUGUGGAGGAAUACCGGUGGCGAAGGCGGCCCCCUGGACAAAGACUGACGCUCAGGUGCGAAAGCGUGGGGAGCAAACAGG